GCUGAGUCCAAGCAGCGCCACCUUCAACUCCUUUGGCGCACCAUGCUGCUGCAAAGUCAACCACCAGGCAGCAGAGAGAUAGAGAGAGAGAGAGAGAGAGAGAGAGAGAGAGAGAGAGAGAGAGAGAGAGAGAGAGAGAGAGAGGAACCGGCAAACAUAAAUCAGCAAGCCAUUCCUCUCCUUCCUCACUUUAGCAGCACCGUGACUCUCUACACUCCCUUUUUUCCUUUCCUGUUUCGCGCAAGACCAUGGCCUCACGCCGUUCAACCGUUGGCGACGCCCUUGGCUCAGCUAACGCCGGCGCUGUCCUAGCUGUCUUGCAUCAUUCUGUGCGGGCUUCCUCGGUUUGUUUUGGACCGCCAAAGAACCAAGUGCAACCUUGGGACUUCUGACCUUGCCAAGUCGUGACAAAGGCUUGGGGACUUGAGGCAAGUGGAUAUCCUCCGUUCUAUUCUAUAUCGAUCGAUUUUGUUUGACGAGGAUAGUUUCCUAGAAAUUUCCAUGAACGUUAUUUAGAUUCCUGUCUAAUCGGAAAUUUUCACCAAGUGACCCAACUGAAAUGUCGCGUUCGUAAUAAUUGAGUUCGUGGUUGGAUCGUAGGAGUACGAUCUGUUGAUAUCUAGUGUAUGCUAGGACUAGAAAUGCCAAAAACUUGAGCUAAACUAGUGAAGGGAUCUAAGUCAGGAUCGGUUUUAGUCCGACCUUAGUUUUGUUAAUUUUGUAUUGACUUGUGAUGCGAAAUCCAUAGGGCCUGCUUCAGUAAAUUGUCCUUCAUUAGCUAUUCUAUGACAUGCUUUGGAUUUAAAUUUUUCGGGCUUUGCAUGACAAAAAUAUAUUUGGAAAACUAUCGAGUGUGCAAUCUAUUUUUACUGCUACUGAACCGACCUUCCUCUGCUUUCCAUUUUCAACAGAAUUUUUGGGCAAGUACUUUAACUAACAGGAGUUUGAAUGGACCUUCACGAUUCUCCAGCUUAAUUUGCCUCUUGUGCACUUCUACGGUGCAUACUUUCUUUGUUAAUUACGUUAUUUUGGACAAAAAAAUGUAGUCUUUUUGGCACAUAAAAAUGGAGUAAACAUAAAAGUUUAUAUAUAUAUAUAUAUAUAUAUAUAUAUAUAUAUAUAUAUAUAUAUAUAUAUAUAUAAUGUUUAUUGAUCCAAGUGAGCGGUUCCACACUCAAAACGGGAACCGGAACAGGAAUGGUACUUGAGUACCAAUUUAUUGGAAUUGGGAAUUUGACUGAUUUCUAUAGAAACUACCUAGAAUAGGCUAGUUCGGUCCGGUUUGGACGGUUCUUGGUUCUUUCGUUCACACAUACUUUGUCUCACGAAAUGCAGAAAGACUAAUUAAAGGAAAACACACAAAAUCUCACUGCGCAAAGUUUAGAAAAGAGAAGUACAUUACAAUCAAGGGGAGAUUCAUUGAACAAUAAUGUCCUUUCUAGUGACCGGACACUGACUUUUCCUUUGUAUAUUUAUUAUUCUAUUUAGUGUGAUUUGGAAAACCAACUCAAUUUGUGGCUUCUAAUCUCAAUCACCAACAAACAUUCAAACGAAUUCUUCCAAGCAAUGAACAAAAAAACCCUAGUAGUAUAUGUACCAAACAAUGUGAAACUCUAUUACACUUGUAUCACUAUAAUCCAGUCGGACUAAUUUCAAGCUACUGAGUGAGGGGAACACAUUCAAGCUCAAUAUCAAGCUCUCCCCGCUCCACAUUCUUCAAUCUCAAAGUUAUAUCCUGUUUUACUUUACCAUCCAUUAAGCUGAUGACACCAUCUUUCACUAGGGUAUUAUCUCUGCUUGCGACCCAUUUCCCCAGCUGCAUUGACUCGUCAAUGGUGGAGCUUUCAUAUGCUUUGGCGGCAGACAGUAGGGGCUGAAUAUCUAUCUCGGCCUCUCCCAUAAAAUCAUCCUGCUUGAAUGUGUCCUUGUCAUACACGAGCUGCAUUUGCCAAAAUACGUUAUUCAUGACCUUCAAGGCUAAAGCUGGACUUUGCUACAUAUUGACAGACAGUUUACGGACUCUGGCUAAUUUAUAACUAUCUGUCUCUCAUGGUUAAAAGCCUGAUAGAAACAGAACGUGCAAGAAAACUUCUGUCCACAAAAUUAUAUUCAACUUGACGGCCACAUAGAAGCUGAAAAGAGAUCCGUGCAAGGCGGAGAAUGCUGACAUUGUCCUAAUCAUAAAGCAACAGAAACUCCCAGUUCCAUUUCAUGGUCAUCAUGAAAGAGCUUAAAGUGUCAAGGAGGUCCAACCAUAUAGUAUACAAUGAACUAACUUGUCUUACUGUUCUAAUAUUAUUGAAUGACUUUUCUAAGGGGUCAAUCUGCACACGUAUGGUGUCAAUAGAGUAUCAGUGCCAACAACUGUUAAACGACUCCAGAGAACACAUGUUCAAAUUAUUUACUUCCAAUGCCUCUCCAUUUAAUCAAACCGCAAUAGGUCUUAUAGGAAAUAAGCUCCAUACCACUUUUAAAGGAGGGACACUUUCCGGAAUAGACAGCAUCAGCUUCUCAUUCCACACUGGAUUCAGGUUGUUCUUUAUAACACGCGUUUUCACUGACUGCAACAAGCCAUUAACAAGACGAAAUCAAAUAACUCAAUGGACUAACAAUUCUAUAGCUUCAUACACUAAACCACAAGACCAUUAUCAACCAGUUCCAAUUAGGAGGCUCACCUGGUGCCCCAAAGCAAGGAUCACAUAAGGGUCACUGGUCAUCACAUCCCGAAUAACUAGGUUGGUGCCUCUUACCACGUUGACCUUUAUUAGACCAACAAAUUCAACCAUUCCCGCCUAUAGAAAAGUAGAAGUGCAAGCUAUAAGGUUUUUGCUGCUGGAUUCACAAUAUGUAACGUUGCGGUUCAUUGCAACCCUUGGUUCUACCCAAUCAAUCAUUGGGAAAUAAAUUCUUUCCAAGUAAAACCUCCACUAAUUAUUAUCAUUCCUUCCACUUUCAAUUCCAUUAAGUGCCAACAGAACUUGUUUUGGUGGAGUUGCUCCAACAAAUAAUCCAGAUAACAAAUCAAAAGCAGUUGAAUUAGCCAGCAAAUAAAAGGAGGAAAGACAGACAAAUCAUACUGAUGAGCAUUUCUUCUUGUAGGCCUUAUGGUCGUUCUCCCUCCUCCCCCAGCUGUUACGAAAUGCCUGUCCAAUCCGAUGCUUCGUUGGUUGUUUUUCAAACUGUCUCUUCUCUUG
rnacentral:lncRNA from 1 species